CAGGGAAUCUUGCGCAAUGGGCGAAAGCCUGACGCAGCGACACCGCGUGGGGGAUGAAGGCUCUAGGGUCGUAAACCCCUUUUGCCGGGGAAGAAGUUCUGACGGUACCCGGCGAAUAAGGCCCGGCCAACUACGUGCCAGCAGCCGCGGUAAAACGUAGGGGCCGAGCGUUGUCCGGAUUUAUUGGGCGUAAAGGGCGCGCAGGCGGCCCGGUAAGUCUCUUGCGAAAGCUCCCGGCCCAACCGGGAGAGGUCAAGGGAAACUACCAGGCUUGAGGACGGCAGAGGAAGGUGGAAUUCCCGGUGUAGCGGUGGAAUGCGUAGAUAUCGGGAGGAACACCGGCGGCGAAAGCGACCUUCUGGGCCGUUUCUGACGCUGAGGCGCGAGAGCGUGGGGAGCAAACCGG
rnacentral:rRNA from 1 species